GCAGCCCUCUGCCCUGCUUACCAGGGUGGUGUCAGAGGGUGCCUUGGCACAGCAUGUGGUCCUCCAAUGGGGAUUAAUCCCACUCAAUGUGGACAUGGCAACGCCUACACCUGAGCUGUCUAGACACCCCUUCUAACAAGAAAAAAGCAAGAGGUGUGGCUAGGGGCUGAGUCAUUUCAACUUGACAGCCCAAACAAGCCUGCCUAAUCUGCCCUAAAAAGAUGCCUGUUUUUUUCCAGCAGCUGCAACAUGAGCCCAGAGUGCUCAGGUUGGAUGGAGAUCCUGCAUUGUAUGGCAAGCUGAAUCCCUCUCCCUGGUUCUGUGUUGGCUGUGGCCAUGUAAGGCAUCAACAGAUGAGAAAGCUGAUUUUGUUCUGCGCCGGUCUCUGUGUCUUCCAGGUCUUCUGCUGUUUCUGGGGUUGCAAAAGGAACAUCCAGCUAUCAAGUCAGUGCCCCAUCUUGAAUUUUUAUAUAUCCCUCUUCAUCUUAAAAGGAACUGUACACCUGGAGGUGCCUCAGUGUGGUCAGUGCAACGAGCUGGGCACAGUGCUGAGCAAAGAUUGUAUCUCCUUUCUCUAGAAAGUCAGACCCUAUUGUUACACACAAAGUCCCCAAAUCCUUGGUGUCUCCUUUGCCCAAGCAUGAGAUCAUUACCUGUUGUGUGGGGGUAAGCUGGGUCCCUUAGUGAGGAAAAGCCAACAGCACCAGGCUUCAAAAAAGACCGGAGAUUCUAAGUGACUUUCAAGAGCGUGGCUGGGGUUCUGCUAGCUGUUCUCCAGUUCUGGGCUGCUUCCAGGUCCUGGUGAUAGGUAUUGCAUUCAGCAGGAGCUCUAGCAGCCAGUCCAUCAGAGCAGCAGUGUAUAAAUCAGGAGAUGGAUGCAAAGAGUCAUUAAGGGUGAGGAGCUGGCUUUAGGAGUAUGUUUGCACCCAUCUGAAACCUGUCCACUGUCUGAGAUGUUAAGCCAUAUUCUGAGCUUCACAUCAUUGUGUUGUGUUCUUUCUCUCCAUUGAGUUUGCAUAAAGAACAAGCCUUUGGGGUAGAACUUUUCUGCCUUUGACACUCCCAACUCAUUCUUGCAAGUUUAUAUUUGUUGGUUUUGUUGUUGAGUAACCAGUAAUAAAUAAUCUUUUGGUCAAGACUCUUAAAAUGGGUCAGUGAACCUCAAAGCGUCUCUGAGUUGUCUGUACCAUGAGAGCCAUUCCUCCUGAUUUAGAAAUAGGUGAAGCACUGACAUACUAGGGCAUUUUAGAGUGAGACCAAACAACUAAAAAUUUGUGCUCUUGUAUUUAGGAGGAUGUAGCAUUCCCUAACAGAAAUCCUGCACACCUGGAUGUAGACAAAUGAACAAAGUCCUGAACAGUCUAAAAGGAAAUACCUCCUGCAUCCAAAAAAUGUGGGUUAGAAAGGAGACUUUUGCUUUGUGCCUCCUGCUUCAGUUUAGAGUUGAUCAAGCAACUUCCUUCUACAGAGAAAGUGUUUCUGUAAGUGGCAGAAGAAAAAUAUCGUGGAGAAAAAAAAAACCCUAGCUCUUGAAUUCCAAAAAUACUGUCUCCUUUCAAAGUAAGAUUUAUGUGCAAGAAGACAAUCUCUCCUACAGAGUUUUUCCUGUCACUUGGAGUCCACUCUCUGGAAACAAGCAUACAGUUUAAAAAUAUACUGGAAGAGCAGCUUGGACACAGAGAAAGGAAUGACCUGUAGUCCUAAAAAACAGAGGAGCUUUUCAGUAGCUUGAGGCUUGGAACAAGAAUCUAAAAGUUAUGUAACACCAGUAAAAUUUGGGGCAUUCUUGUUACCUAAAAAAUAACCAUUCUUGGCUUCUGACAUUAAUAUCUCUACUUGGGGAUUACGUUAACUGUUUUGUGGGGAAGCUGGAUGGAAAUCUGCAGCUGUGGUGGUGAGUUUUCUUCAGUGUGUACAGGGUCGGGAUGAGUGAGUGGUUGGGUUAUUUGAGGGCUGGUGUUCCUGAGCCCUCUUUGUCUGGGAUCCAGACAAGCCUUCCUGUUGAGAAACAGUGUCCUACUUCGGUGAAGACAAACAACAGAACAGCUCCUGCUCUAGCAGGACAGUGCAAGCAGUAAACUGUUUCCAGUUGAUGCUACGAGCAUGGAGUGGCUCCUGGAGUUAUCAAAGUAGAGGCACUGUGCUGGCUGGGAUCUGCAUUCUGUCCCUGCUUCCACAAGGAAUAUGAGGAACACUGAGCAGCACCAUCACAGCCUGUUUCUCUUCAGCAUAAGGGUGACCAGUGUCCCACAUUGCCUUGGAGGUCAAUGGAAGUUCACUUGUUGACUUCAUGCACAGGAUUUCAACCCGUGUCUGUGAUUAGUGAUGAAAUGAAAUUCACAGUUUGGAAUAAUUUAUCCAGCAUACCCAAUCAAACACAAACAUCCUUUGUGCUUGAAAAUGAAUCAGGGCUGGAGGCAGCUAGCCUGCUGCAGGGGUUUGUGAUAGAUUAAUGAGCUGAGAACAAGCUGCCACCUCCACCCCCAUCAUCAGUGACUUUCCAGUCUGAGGAGAGGGACGCUGAGCUGGAGGUGAAGGAUAUACUCUCUGAUAAGUGUUGCAGUGGGAGGUGAGAAAUAAGAGCUUCAAGUGGAGGAGGAGGGGAGGAAAAAAGACUGUACUCUGUUAAGCAGGGUACCGUUUAGACAGAGCAGCUGCCUGACAGGCUUGUGGCAGGAGGGGCAGGGCAGGAGCAGCCCUGUGCUUGCAGCACCUGUUAUUGAAUGCUACCUGCAGGUACCAGGGCAGCACAGACCGUGAUUCCCUGACUUCUGCCAGUCACGUGGGAAGGUCAGGGACCUAGGAGAGGAAAGGAGAUGAUGAAACACUGACAAGGUCUGCCCUCAGUGAGAUGCACUAACACCAAUGCAGAAGGGACCAUAUCCCAGAGGCUUCUUGGGCUUAAAGAUGAAAAUAAAAUCUGAAUUUGAGUGUCACAACUCGGUGAUUUUUAAUUGGGAAAUUCAUGUUACUUUGGCUUUCCUUUCUUUCCCCUUUAACAUGCCAGCUCUGGA